CGCAUCUGUGCAUGCAGCAUAUCAAUAAGCGGAGGAAAAGAAACUAACAAGGAUUCCCCUAGUAACGGCGAGUGAAGCGGGAAGAGCUCAAAUUUGAAAUCUUAAAGGGUUUCCCUUUACGAAUUGUAGUUUAAAGAAGUGUUUUCUGUUGAGGUUUUGGUAAAAGUUCUUUGGAAUAGGACAUCAUAGAGGGUGAGAAUCCCGUAUUUGACCUUUACUUUCAACUUUGUGAUACACUUUCAAAGAGUCGGAUUGUUUGGGAAUGCAGUCCAAAAUGGGUGGUAAAUUUCAUCUAAAGCUAAAUAUUGGCGAGAGACCGAUAGCGAACAAGUACCGUGAGGGAAGGAUGAAAAGAACUUUGAAAAGAGAGUUAAACAGUACGUGAAAUUGUCAAAAGGGAAGCGUUUGACACCAGUGUUGUUUUUCUGAAAAUCAAUUAAAGAACUGUUUAUGCUAAGUUGUUUAGACUUUAUCAGCUAACUGUUUAGUUUUGAGCUUUUCUUUAAUGCACUUUUCAGUUAACAAGUCAACAUCAAUUUCUUUUGCUGUAAAAAAGCUUGAGGAAGGUGGCUUGAGAUUCGUCUUAAGUGUUUAUAGCCUCUUGCCUAUGCAGUCGGAGAGAUUGAGGUCUGCAGCGUAGAUCCUUCGGGGCUAAAUGCAUUUGUGCUAAGUUAUAACAUUUUAUAGACAACUUGUUGACUAUGAUUUGUCUUGUAGCUUACUCGCUUAUGUUAUUUUACCUACGCUUAGGAUGUUGAGCGCAUGUCUCUCUCU
rnacentral:rRNA from 1 species